rnacentral:rRNA from 1 species
GUGGGGAAUAUUGGACAAUGGGGGGAACCCUGAUCCAGCCAUGCCGCGUGUGUGAAGAAGGCCUUUUGGUUGUAAAGCACUUUAAGCGAGGAGGAGGCUACCGAGAUUAAUACUCUUGGAUAGUGGACGUUACUCGCAGAAUAAGCACCGGCUAACUCUGUGCCAGCAGCCGCGGUAAUACAGAGGGUGCAAGCGUUAAUCGGAUUUACUGGGCGUAAAGCGCGCGUAGGUGGCCAAUUAAGUCAAAUGUGAAAUCCCCGAGCUUAACUUGGGAAUUGGCUUCGAUACUGGUUGGCUAGAGUAUGGGAGAGGAUGGUAGAAUUCCAGGUGUAGCGGUGAAAUGCGUAGAGAUCUGGAGGAAUACCGAUGGCGAAGGCAGCCAUCUGGCCUAAUACUGACACUGAGGUGCGAAAGCAUGGGGAGCAAACAGGAUUAGAAACCCUAGUAGUCC